CUUUGUGCUCCUGGAGCUGUAGGUGGGGAUGCUAACCCUGGCUUCCAAGGAUCUGAAGAGGAAGCUGCGGCUGUGACUGUCCCUUUUCGGUCUGUCUUCAUCCUGCCUGACUCACGGGUCUCCUGUCCUCCUGCAUAGCUUGCGGUGGUGAGGUGAUGGCAGCCAUGGACACAGGCCAGAGAGCUGACCCAAGCAAUCCUGGUGACAAGGAAGGGGACCUUCAAGGGCUGUGGCAGGAACUCUACCAGCUCCAGGCUAAGCAGAAGAAGCUCAAGAGAGAAGUCGAGAAGCACAAGCUUUUUGAAGACUAUCUGAUUAAGGUCCUUGAGAAAAUCCCCGAGGGUAUGUACACAGCUUCCUCGGAAAGCCCUUUCUCUCCACAGCCACCUACUGGCUGCAGGACUGCGACACCGUGUGUGGCCUCAUGGAGCCACGAGCUGCUCAUCUACAGAAUGGGAAUCCACAAAGGCCAACCCCACAGUAGUGGGGAAGGGCUCAGGCAGCCGAGUCUGACUGCUUGGUCCCAACUCCAGCUCCACUGUCGCUAACAGUGUGGCCUCUGGCAAGUUCUCAAGGCCUUGAUUUUCUUAUCUGUACAAUGGGAACAGCAAUAAUUAUGUGGACUAGAUGAAGUCAUCCUUUAUAAGCACAGCACAGGGCCCCACAUUUAGCUAGUACCUGGUAAACGUUGGCCAUUAUUAU
rnacentral:lncRNA from 1 species